AGCUUAUAUGAACUUUUAUAAAUGAUGCAGCAUUAAAUUUAUAUAAAAGACUAGUUGCAAGCCAGUUCUAAUUGGAGUUUAGCGACCUGUGCAGUUAUCUGUCGGACCUGUGGAACAUGAAGGCUGUAAUUGCUUCAGUCAUCUUAUGUGUGGCUAUCUGGCUGCCUCGACCAGCCAUAUCACUUGACUGGACAAAUUUUGUACGGAACAGAGUAAACCGUGAAAAUAUCGUUAGUCCAGGGCUGUGCGAGAAAUAUGCUAACCAAGGAAGUUGUAGGUUUUAUGAUUGUUAUAAUGAAAUGGAACGUAGUUGUUUGAACGAUCCUGACUGGAGCUUGCAUACGGUGGAAAUCUGGUGCUUCAACUCACAAUUCCUGGGCUUUCUGGGACGAUUCAGUAGAACAGCCAUUGAUUAUCUUGAUAAUGUUCGGAAAUGCCAAACCAAACGUCUUGCUGACGUCAGCUACCUUGAUAACCCAAGCACUCGAUGUCUCAUCCUUGACAACCAGGCCACGUAUGCUCUGACGGGAAUUGAGCAAGGCGAUAUUAAACCCGAUGACUGCUACUGGCAGAAUAAACAGUUCUGUGAGGUGAUAAAGAAUCCUACGGACAAUGUUGCUCUAAUAGAAUCAAUACUUGGAGAUACUAACGAUGGUGGUCUCUUAAGACUUAAACGAGCUCAAGUUGUACAUAUCCGAUACUUGAUUAGAUUUUGUCCACAAGAUGCCCAGGAUAUUUUCAAAGAGAGCUUCGUACCUUUAAUUCCAUCCGGAAUUGGUUAUAAACCCCUCGACUACGAUUAUGUGUAUUAAUGAUGAGAUUUGAUGGUAACCAACAAGUUUGUCAUAAAUCCCGGAAUUUCAGCAAUUACAACAGCAGUACAUUAUAGUCAGUUGAUAC